GACGAACGCUGGCGGCGUGCCUAAUACAUGCAAGUAGGACGCAGUUGCGAACGGGUGAGUAACGCGUAGGUAACUGCCUAGUAGAGGGGGAUAACUAUUGGAAACGAUAGCUAAUACCGCAUACUAGUAGAUGGACCUUCGUUGUAUUAGCUAGUAGGUAGGGUAAUGGCCUACCUAGGGGACGAUACAUGGCCGACCGUGGAGGGUGAGCGGCCACACUGGGACUGGGGCAAGGGCCAAGAUCCUACGGGAGGCAGCAGUAGGGGAUCAUCGGAAAAGGGGGGAACGCUGACCGAGCAACGCCGCGGGAGUGAAGAAGGUUUUCGGAGCGUAAAGGUAUGUUGUUAAGGAAGCGGUACUUAACCAGAAAGGGACGGCUAACUACGUGCCAGCCGCCGCGGUAAUUC
rnacentral:rRNA from 1 species